rnacentral:lncRNA from 1 species
GGUAAAAAUGGCUGAAUAUUUAGCUUCGAUAUUCGGGACUGAGAAGGACAAAUCGGGGUCUGCCGGCACGGGGACCGGUGCUCCCGGCUUCACAACAAGCCGACAUUCAGCCAGCCCUGCCCUCUGAGCUCAGGCCCCGCCCCUUUUAAAUUCUGUGCAGACCAUAGUGCUGCUCAACCUGUACCGGAAUCCACAGAACACAGCCCAAACUGCAGACGGAUCACACUGUGAGUAAGGGACCAGGCCUGGGGGCAAGGUGAACAGCCCCCAGUAGGCUACACUCUGAUUCCACCCUGCCCGCCCCCACCCCAGGUCAUGUGAGUGACGUGGAGGUGCAGGAGCACUAUGAUAGCUUCUUCGAGGUGAGGGUUGGUAGGGGCAGAUGGGGUUUCUUGUGGGAGCUCAGCUGAGUUCCUCCCCGUCUUCCACAGGAGGUGUUCACAGAACUGCAGGAGAAGUAUGGGGAGAUUGAAGAGAUGAAUGUGUGCGACAACCUUGGGGACCACCUCGUGGGCAACGUCUAUGUCAAGUUCCGGAGGGAGGAGGAUGGAGAGCGGGCCGUGGCUGAACUC